rnacentral:rRNA from 1 species
AGCGCAGACGGUUUAUUAAGUCUGAUGUGAAAGCCCGGAGCUCAACUCCGGAAUGGCAUUGGAAACUGGUUUAACUUGAGUGCAGUAGAGGUAAGUGGAACUCCAUGUGUAGCGGUGGAAUGCGUAGAUAUAUGGAAGAACACCAGUGGCGAAGGCGGCUUACUGGACUGCAACUGACGUUGAGGCUCGAAAGUGUGGUAGCAAACA